GAUGAAGAACGCAGCGAAAUGCGAUAAGUAAUGUGAAUUGCAGAAUUCAGUGAAUCAUCGAAUCUUUGAACGCAUAUUGCGCCCCUUGGUUAUUCCGGGGGGCAUGCCUGUCCGAGCGUCAUUACAACCCUCAAGCUCAGCUUGGUGUUGGGCCCCGCCGCCCCGGCGGGCCCUAAAGUCAGUGGCGGUGCCGUCCGGCUCCGAGCGUAGUAAUUCUUCUCGCUCUGGAGGUCCGGUCGUGUGCUCGCCAGCAACCCCCAAUUUUUUUCAGGUUGACCUCGGAUCAGGUAGGGAUACCCGCUGAACUUAAGCAUAUCAAUAAGCGGAGGA
rnacentral:misc_RNA from 1 species